rnacentral:lncRNA from 1 species
AGUUAGGGCUGCAUCUGUGGCAUGUGGAAGUUCCCAUUCUAGGGGUCGAAUCAAAACUACAGCUGGCAGUGCAGCAAAGCAGGAUUCAAGCUGCCUCUGUGAUCUACACCAUAGCUCUCGGCAACGCCAGAUCCCUAACCCACUGAGCAGGGCCAAGGAUGAAAACCUGCAUCCUCACGGCUACCAGUCAGGUUCGUUACCACUAAGCCACAACUGCCACUCUUCAAUACUCUGUGUCAGUGUUUAGCUUUAUACAUACAAUCUUUUCUCUCCUCCUUAGUAAUAUAACUGGUUAUUUUCAUUGGUUGGUCUUAUAAUAUUAACUUUAUACUGUAGCAGUGUGUUUUUUGUAUUCAUUUUUUCUCUUGUAUUUUUACACUUAAACAUCUGUCACUUGACAAUGACAAGAUGUCAGUGUACAAUGUACGUUCUUUUUUUUUUUUUUUUUUUUUUUUUUUUGGUAUUUCUUUGGGCCGCUUCUGCGGCAUAUGGAGGUUCCCAGGCUAGGGGUCGAAUUGGAGCUGUAGCUGCCAGCCUACGCCAGAGACACAGCAACGUGGGAUCCGAGCCGCAUCUGCAACCUACACCACAGCUCACGGCAACGCCGGAUCGUUAACCCACUGAGCAAGUGCAGGGACCGAACCCGCAACCUCAUGGUUCCUAGUCGGAUUCGCUAACCACUGCGCCACGACGGGAACUCCUCAAUAUAUGUUCUUUGCAGAAAUAUUCUUGAUUGUCCACAUGGUUUAUGAAGUUGGAAUCUAUUAAUAUAUUCUUGUUAAAUAUAGUCCUUUCUCAUGCUUACCAUUUCUUCUCCAUCCAUAUGCUUAGUUUCUUCAUUACUACUAACUAGUCGAGAGGUCAAAGGAAGGAUAAAUUAAGGCGUUAAUUUCUUUGUGCUUUUUUUCUAGUUCUUUUGCUACUGAAACACUGCUGGAUUCAUCUUAGUGAACCAAGGAAAGCACAUCCAUUGCUGGAUGAUAUGGGAGAGAAAACUGACAUUUUAGUACCUCCAGUUUCAGGUACUUUCUUUGCGGGGGGAGGGCCACGUUCGCGGCAUAUGGAGGUUCCCAGGCUAGGGGUUGAAUCGGAGCUACAGCUGCCAGCCACAGCCACAGCAACACCAGAUCCAAGCUGUUUCUGCGACCUAGACUACAGCUCAUGGCAAUGCCGGAUCCUUAACCCACUGAGCGAGGCCAGGGAUUGAACCUGUAAUCUCAUGGAUCCUAGUCGGGUUCAUGACCACUGAGCCACGUAAGGGAACUCCCUCAGAUACUUAAUCUUAAAUACACUUUCAUCCUCACAAUUCUGAAAAACUGAUAUACUAUUUUUAAAUAAUCGAGGAGACUGGGGCUUAAAAAGCUCAAGAACUUGUUCAAAGUUAUCUGCAUUAGGAGGAGAAAGGGGAGAGAUUUACUCACAGUCUCUGCAAUAUCAAAGUUUGAUUUUUUCAAAUUUGUGGUUUAUAAAUUUACAUCUUUUAUGUAACAACACCCCAAAUUUUUUUGCCAUAUCCACUUAUGAAAUGUAUUAUUUACUAUUUCUUACUCUAUUCUCUCCUGCAUUUUAAUAUUUUAAUUAAAUGGAUUUAUUCUUAAAUGAAAUUUUAUCAUUCUCAUAACUGAAAACAAAUAUCCUCUCAUAUUAACAGACUGUAAUCAUAACAAUAAAUUUAAGGAUGACAAAAUAAUGCUGGCUGCCAAAUGUUUUGAGCUCAAAAGAAGCUGUUAAAAAUGGAGACUAACAAGUGAUAGAGAAAUAUUAAAAACAUAUUUGCUUCCAAGGAGGCUUUUAUGUUUGAGUUCAUCAGAAAAGAAUGAAUGGAAUUGAUUAAGGACUAUCUUUCUCUUGGCCUCUUUCUUAUGUCUUUCUCUUUUUUUCAAUAAUUUUUGAUAAUCUAUCCAUGAGCCGCCUAAGAGCAUCCAGAAUUCAAAACUGGCAAAGGCAGGACAACCAAAACAUUCAGGAGGAAUCAAAGACCCUAGUGGAUGCUAUUCUCUGGAGUCCUGAAUCACUCAUUACUAUCUCUGCUGGUUAAUGUAUUUGCUACGCAGCUAAGGCAGGGUCACUGGACAAUAGAUGUUUGAAAUCACAAAGGACUCAUGGAAAAGGCUUCCAUGUAUUAGCAUUUGAGAGAGUGUAAUGCUGUAUUUUAAUGAUUGGACCCAUUAACCCCGAACCAGUAAAUUGUCCAUUAGCAGGUAAAAUAAGAAUCUAUUUGAAGUGUCUCUUCUAUUAUCACAGGUCUGUGAUAAUCUGUUUCCCAGUUCAAAGUUUAAAGGUAUCAAAUAGAAUCGUAGAAUCCAGUGUAAAAAUACAUUCCUAGCAAUUCAAAGCUGGAGAGCACCUGGUAGAUUAUACAGUAUAAUCACCUGUAAAGAAAAGUGUGGAAGCUAAAGUGUAAAUAGAGGAAGAGAUUGCCCAAGGUCACACGCUAAUUAGCAACACAGCAGUAACUAGAGCUUAUUUCUCAUUAUUUAAGGCUUUUCCCUGUACACUUCAGGAUGACGCUCACUCCUGGUAAAAAGGAUGGAAAUAGCAACAACAAUAAAUGAAACAGAUGGAAGCUUUCCUAAGCUCAAAUUGUCUGAUAAAACUUGAAUAGUGAGGAGUUCCCAUUGUGGCGCAGCAGAAACGAGUCCAACUAGGAACCAUGAGGUUUCCAGUUAGAUCCCUGGCCUCGCUCAGGGGGUUGAGAAUCUGGCAUUGCUGUGAGCUGUGGUGUAGGUGGCAGACAUGGCUCAGAUCUGGUGUUAAUGUGGCUGUGGCGUAGGCUGGCAGCUGUAGCUGAGAUUCGAUCCCUAGCCUGGGAACCUCCAUAUGCCGUGGGUAUGGCCCUAAAAAGCAAACAAACAAACAAACAAAAAACCCUUGAAUAGAGAAAGAUGAGUCAGGUAUUUAUCAAAUCACCUUUACAUAAAUAAAUAUGUUGCUUCUAAACUUUCAUUUUCUACUUUAAUAUAUAUCUGAGUGUCUGCAUGGAAUUAUAUAUUCUACUGUUUAUAUCGCCAAAUGCCUUGCGCUCUUUGUUAAUUGCAGGUCCAAGACUGAUUAAAGCAACCAACAGAUUUAUAAGUGCUAACCAGACUAGAACUUUCCUAUUACAGGGUGUAAAAAUCAUCAAAAACCAUAGGAAUAUUGCAUGCAUUAUUGAAACUGCCGUCCAGCACCAUUUGGAGUCAUAACUUCUAGUUUAAAUGUCACCAGAUACUCUGAAGAUUACUUUUUCAAAUGCAGCUUUUUAAUUAAGUCAUAUUUUACACAGAAAGUAAAAGACAGGCUGAGUGUACACAGAACUGCUGAAUUGACUUCCUGGUGGUUACUCCUGGGGAGGGGACCUGUGCAUGGUAAGGACAUCUUUUGAAGUCCAUCAUUUUGGCUGCAUGUCUUAUUAACUCAAGCGCUAAGACGUUAAUGACUUUGGUUUUACCAGCAGCAUCUCUAGUCUAGGCAUACAUAUAAUCCGGAUGUCAACUGCUGGCAGUGAUUUUUAAUAAUGGGAUGAUUUGGUCAAUACAAAGUUUAGUAUAUACUCCCACAAGCCAAUCUUUAAUGUUGACACAAAUAUCUUAAUAUCUUAUUGGUUCUGCUUUUUGUUCUUAUAUAUCUUUAUACAUCUGGAAUGUUUUCUUCUUUGGCUUGCAAUAUGCUAUAAUUUUAUUUCACUCAUAAAAUAAUUUUCAUUUAUGUGAAAAAAAGUAGAUUCUGCAUGGGGAGACUGAUAGCAUUCAAGUAAUAGGUAUGUGCAGAGAAAAGUUGGCAUUAUCCAAAAAACCAAUAUUUUUUUACAUCCUGUUCUUCUCCAAUAGAAUGUUUUAGAUCUUUCAUAUAAUGCUAUCAUCACAUAAUUCUACGCAAAUGUUAUUAGCUGUACAUUUAAACAUGCUUUACAUAAAUGAAGAAAAUAAGAGAAAAGAAAUAUGAAGUUUUUAUUGUUUCACUGUUGAAUUCUUUUUCACCCAAACUGUAUUGAUUCUUUUAGAUCUGGAAAGGCUAUGUACAGUGCUAGGUUAUUUAAACUUUUCAGAAAAGUUUUUAUUGCAAUGUAUAUAGAGAGCCAUAUAUCUCCCUACAUAAUACAUAAUAAAACAAACAUUUUUGUCUAAUGCCUUAAAGCAUAAAAUAUUUUAUUAUGUAUAAUUAUUUAAUCUCCUGAUCACCUUUCCUAUUUAUUUAUUACAAUACUUUACAUCUUCUUAUCACUUUUUCUUCCCUCACCAAAUUCUCAAGCAUAGAUCUUAAAUCAGAACAAAGCCAAGAACAAGAAAUAAGGGUAGAAAGCAAUUGAUCUAUUUUGGUAAGAAGAGAGGGUGUAAGAUUUAGCAUACUCUCAUUGAAUAUAUUGUUGUCACUUAAAAAUAUUUUUUAUGGGAGUUCCCAUUGUGGCUCAGCAGGUUAAGAACCCGACAUACUAUCUGUGAGGAUGCGAGCUUGACUCCUGGCCUCACUUGGUGUGUUAAGGAUCCAGUGUUGCCAAAAGCUGCAGUGAGGUAGCAGAUGUGGCUUGGAUCCAGUGUUAUUGUGGCUGAGGUAUAGGCCUGCAGCUGCAACUCUGAUUUGACCCCUAGCCUGGGAACUUCCAUAUGACAUAGGUGUUGCCGUGAAAAGAAAAAAAAAAUAAUAAGAAAAAAAGAUAAAAAUUAUACUGAGGUUAGUAACAUAUAGAACUCCAAGUGUUUCUAAUUAUCUUAUAAUGAGUAUUAAGUGGGGAGUUAGCUUAGACUGUUAACCCCUAAAUUCACUAGGAAAAAAUGAUAAUUGCAUAUAAUGUUAAAUUCUACCUGGUUCAGGCUUAAUUAUAGCACAUAGGUUUUAAAAAACAAUAAAAUAAUUUUAUAUCCUUUUCAUGUAAUGUAAGAAGACAGAAAAUAAUUACAAAUGUUUUCAUGGUACAGAAUACAACAUCAUGCUAAACAAAUUGUUCUUAUCUGCAGCACACUGGGUUACACUGUUGUUAACUCUUGCUGUAUCUUUUGCAACAGUAUCCUGAUGAUAUCAGCAUCACCAGUCUUUGGUUCACUGCCUAAAAUAAAGACCUAAUCAUGCUAUGUCCAAGAUUUCACAGUAAAAUCAAGACCUACCAAGCACUCACCUGAUUAAUUUUUCAUUUCUUCCAUAGCAUACAUCCCCAGUUCUCUAUAUCACAUGCCUUUCAGUGAGCCUGUGUGGUACUUGUGUAUUUUACAAUCACCAUUAAUUGUCCAUUCAUGCUCUUAUCUCUGCCUGGUCUUCACCCUCUAUGGUUUGAAUUAAGAGCCUUAAUGCCUACAUAUUUAGAGUGUUAUUCCCAAUGGAAUCAAUCAUGUUAAUUCUGUGUUGCCAGAGCAAUUCUGUCACUGCUACUCUAGCAGGUAGGAAACACUGCUUUGCAUUAUAAGUUACAUAGAUGUGUGUUUACGUGGCUAGGUUAUCAGAUCUUUAAGGAUAAAUGUAACAUAAUAAUUUCAUAUUCCUCCGAAACCUUGCAGAGGUGCUCAAUAAACAUGUUAUAUUGUUAUGUCAUUGUUCUUGCAUUUCUAAUUCCUACUUUUGUCCUUCACUGUUUAUCAAACUCUUAAAGUAUAUUAUAUUGUCUAUAAUUAGGAUAAAUGAUACUUAUAUUUAAAU